CGUGCUCUAUCAACCCCACUGGGAUCUGCCCAGCCUGGACCCUUCUCAUCCCUACUGCCCCUUGAAAGGUAUGAAAGCCCCACAGGAGGGAUGCCACACCCUUCUCCAGACUUCACAGCCCGCCCCCGCAAGCAACCAGUGCAUGGUCUUAUAUAAGUAGGGUAUACUCAAGUACGAAGAAUGGGAAAGGAGUGAAACACUGUGAGCAUUUCCCAUCCCUGCACACCCAGAAGCCAGCAUCCCAUUUCCAGUGACAAGAACCUCCCAGAGCUCCACAGCUUGCACCCUGUUCUCCCAUAUGCUGCGAUUCUUCUGCACAGGAACAGCAGCCACUGUGUCAGCCAGAGGGAACAGCACCGGAUUCUGAUUUGUAAAUAUCACUGGAUCACUCUGGAGUAGUCUCAUUUCUGGCUUUGCCUCAAGCAUUAUUUGAAGGGCUGAUUCUGUUUCAUUUCUCUCUCUUUUCAGCUAUUUACCAUAAUUAAUUUGAUCAGUCCAGUGAAAAGAAGGCUUCUUUCUUUCAUGCUGCAGCUAUUUUAUUUUAUUUUAUUUUGUACUUAAUCAUAUUAAAAAGCGUGCUGGUGGACUGGAAAUGUCACUAGUAUCAGGCAUGUCAUCAUACUUUUACCUGUCAUGAUGGGCCAAUAACUCUUCCCUCUUUUGUCCAAUGAGUACCCCUUUUUCGUGGCAUUACAUCACAGUUCAAAUGUACAUCUAAAAAUAUAGACCCAACCAUGUAGUGUAUGCAUCUUAUGAGUGCUAUAACACCUCCCACCAUUUUCCACAUCCUGUAAUAUAUAUAUUUCAGUAAAUUUCAGAAGCUUCAUGAAUGUUGUUACUUUCUCUUCAGUUCAUACUUCUUGAGAGGUCAUGAGAAACAACUGUCAGAACAGCCUGACAUUUACCACUAAAUUUUAAGUAUCAUCAAAUGGCUUUGGCUGAAUACCAAAUUUCCUCUCAGUUUAUCAAGAGAUGUUGUGAAAUGUCUAACACAAGUCUAGUGACACAGUAAUUAUGUAAUGUAUGGGAUGUGCUGCCAUGGAGGAUGGUGUUGGCAGGGGUGGGCUUUCCGUGAGGUGAGACAGUCCCUUUGGGGGCACUAGUUAGGUGGCAAGAUGUCCUUCUCCACUCUGCUUCUUAAAAAGGGGGGAGGGAGGCGCAAACAAGGGGGUGGGUGGGCAGAAUUUGGCACCCUGCUCAGGUGUACAGAGGGAGACCUUGAGCUACCAUUGGGUAUAGAAUUGACUUGAAUUGAAUUCAAAAUUGUAUAUACUGUAUUCCCAUUAUACAUGUACAGGGAGUUCACCAAGGAAGAAAUGUUACCUCUCUUAAUUUCCACAAUCUGACUGGCAUCUUAUGGUUGGCUUGUGUAAUAGAUGUAAUUUGUUUUCUUGUAUGCCUUCAAAAGGCUACAUUACAUUGCUGGGCAUAGCAGUCCACCUAUGAAAUGUGUGCAUUUUGUAUCUGCUGCUGUUUCUGUCCCAAUAUAUGCUCUGGGAAGCUGUCAUACUAAAAUACAUGCAUCUUUGUACUUGCUGAGGGCUUAUGAGUAUAAAAGUUGAAGUUGGUAUUCAAUGAAGAAUUGAACCACCAAGAGGAAACUUUCAGUACCCAGUUCUAUUGCUAAUGGAACCCCUGAAUUUGGAAAGCUACCAAAGCCACAGUCAACCUUGCUCAGGAAUGGCUGAGCUGGCAAAGCUAGCAAAGAAGGGAGGGGCUUGCCCUUAGUGCUGAAUUCUGAACCUUCUCUAUCUUCUGUACUAAAUUUCUCAGUCCAUAGCUUUUCAUCACUCCCAUUUUAUGAAAUCAGACCAGCCAGGCAGGUCUGAUGAGUUUUAUCUUUCUCUUCUUCUUUCUGAUCAGAAUUCAUUCAUUCCUCAUAGAGUUGCUAACUUUUAUGCUGCUGCUUGUUCCUGUUGCUGUAAACCGAUUAAAUAAUAUCAUAAUUUGGUUUCGUAUUGCUCUUUAAUAAAUUACAUUUUACUUAGGGUUA